UAACCUGCCUUAUAGUGGGGGAGUAGCCUUUCGAAAGGAAGAUUAAUACCGCAUAAGAUUGUAGUAUCGCAUGAUAUAGCAAUUAAAGGAGCAAUUCGCUAUAAGAUGGACCCGCGUCGCAUUAGCUAGUUGGUGAGGUAAUGGCUCACCAAGGCGACGAUGCGUAGCCGACCUGAGAGGGUGAACGGCCACAUUGGGACUGAGACACGGCCCAGACUCCUACGGGAGGCAGCAUG
rnacentral:rRNA from 1 species